ACAUGCAAGUCGAACGGUGAAGGAGAGCUUGCUUUCUGGAUCAGUGGCGAACGGGUGAGUAACACGUGAGCAAUCUGCCCUUGACUCUGGGAUAAGCGUUGGAAACGACGUCUAAUACCGGAUAUGAGCUGUGACCGCAUGGUCAACAGUUGGAAAGAACUUCGGUCAAGGAUGAGCUCGCGGCCUAUCAGCUUGUUGGUGAGGUAAUGGCUCACCAAGGCGUCGACGGGUAGCCGGCCUGAGAGGGUGACCGGCCACACUGGGACUGAGACACGGCCCAGACUCCUACGGGAGGCAGCAGUGGGGAAUAUUGCACAAUGGGCGCAAGCCUGAUGCAGCAACGCCGCGUGAGGGACGACGGCCUUCGGGUUGUAAACCUCUUUUAGCAGGGAAGAAGCGAAAGUGACGGUACCUGCAGAAAAAGCACCGGCUAACUACGUGCCAGCAGCCGCGGUAAUACGUAGGGUGCAAGCGUUAUCCGGAAUUAUUGGGCGUAAAGAGCUCGUAGGCGGUUUGUCGCGUCUGCUGUGAAAUCUGGGGGCUCAACCCCCAGCCUGCAGUGGGUACGGGCAGACUAGAGUGCGGUAGGGGAGAUUGGAAUUCCUGGUGUAGCGGUGGAAUGCGCAGAUAUCAGGAGGAACACCGAUGGCGAAGGCAGAUCUCUGGGCCGUAACUGACGCUGAGGAGCGAAAGGGUGGGGAGCAAACAGGCUUAGAUACCCUGGUAGUCCACCCCGUAAACGUUGGGAACUAGUUG
rnacentral:rRNA from 1 species